CUUGAACACCUGAAUAUCAUGUGACAGUAUCCCACCGUGACUCAUGGUCUGAACUACACGAAAUUACAUUAACUGCAGUCCAAUUUUUCCCAUGGUAUGUGCUAGUGACGAUAUCCAGAACCAGCCUGAAAAGCUUUAAGCAGUUAAUGAAAUAGAAAACAAACCAACACUUUGUCGACACUGAAAUAUCGAUUAAGUGCCUUAAAAACCCCUUUAGAUAUAGCUAUGCAAGUUUUUUAUGUUUGUGUUCCAGAAGGACAGUUCCAUUAAAUAGUUGUGUUGAUCUUCUGUCUUACUUUAUGAAACUGCACUUGAAGGUUAUUCAUAAUUUUUUUUUUCAGUAACAGCUUGUCACCUGCUGUUAUUAGAAGAAAAGUACUGUACUGAGAAAAUUCAGAAAAAUCUCAAUCUUAUGCCAAAAUUGAGUAAUGCUUUAUGGUCCCUUGUAAGUAGUGGAGCUGCUAAUGUUUAGGUGAAUCUCCAAUAAAAUGAAGUGCCC
rnacentral:lncRNA from 1 species